rnacentral:rRNA from 1 species
AAUUGAGUGGCAAACGGGUGAGUAACACGUAAACAACCUGCCUUCAGGAUGGGGACAACAGACGGAAACGACUGCUAAUACCGCAUGACAUAUAGAUGUCGCAUGGCCCAUGGAAGAAAAGGUGGCCUCUACCUGUAAGCUAUCGCCUGAAGAGGGGUUUGCGUCUGAUUAGCUGGUUGGAGGGGUAACGGCCCACCAAGGCGACGAUCAGUAGCCGGUCUGAGAGGAUGAACGGCCACACUGGAACUGAGACACGGUCCAGACUCC